rnacentral:rRNA from 1 species
GUAUAAAACCAUUGUGAACUGUCAAAAUUCUUGUUUUUAACAAUUGAAACCCCUUUUGAUAAAUUGAACUAACGUUUUCAUACUCCAAUAAAACGGAGAUGAAAUUCAUUACGAAACAAAAGAACAACUCUUAGCAACGGAUAUCUUGGUUCUCGUAACGAUGAAGAACGCAGCGAAAUGCGAUACGUAAUGCGAAUUGCAGAAUUCAGUGAAUCAUCAAAUCUUUGAACGCAAAUUGCGCUUUCUGGAUAGGCCAGGGAGCAUGCCUCUUUGAGCAUCGUUUCUACCAAAACUCGUUAGCUUUAUUGCGAUUCGUCCAAUAGAGCGAGCGGAUAAUGCGCUUCUCGCUGGAAACAGUGAGUGGCGUUAAGAAGCGUGAGUUCUCUUUAACUCUCUAGUGUUCGACCGAAAGGGCGCCCUCUCAUCUUUGAGGAUAUCACUAGCGACGUAGAUAAUUAACUUUUUCAACGUUGCUGAUGAAAUCGGAUUCGAUAAGUGUUUGGCUAAGACAUUAGAACCAAAGAUUACUCGUUGAAAAUUUUUAUCGCAAGAUAAAACAAUUUUUGAAUUAGAUCUCAAGUGAAGCAAGAUUACCCGCUGAACUUAAGCAUAUUAUUAAGCGGAGGAAAAGAAACUAACAAGGAUGCCCUCAGUAACGGCGAGUGAAGCGGGCAAAGCUCAACCUGAAAAUCGGAUUCCUUAGCGGGAUUUCGAAUUGUGGGCUACAGACGCGUGAUCAGUGUGUGACCCAGGUAUAAAUCUCUUUGAAACGAGGUAUCAUAGAGGGUGAGAAUCCCGUCUGUGACUUGGAGUUCGCCGCGUACGAUCCGUGUUCGCAGAGUCGCGUUGUUUGGGAUUGCAGCGCUAAAUGGGUGGUAAAUUUCAUCUAAAGCUAAAUAUCGACGAGAGACCGAAUAGCGAACAAGU